AUUGAACGCUGGCGGCAGGCUUAACACAUGCAAGUCGAGCGGAGCGGCGGACGGGUGAGUAAUGCCGGGGAAUCUGCCUGGUAGUGGGGGAUAACGUCCGGACACGGGCGCUAAUACCGCAUACAAUUAGAUGAGCCUAGGUCGGAUUAGCUAGUUGGUGGGGUAAAGGCCUAACAAGGCGACGAUCCGUAACUGGUCUGAGAGGAUGAUCAGUCACCCGGGAACUGAGACACGGUCCAGACACCUACGGUAGGCAGCAGUGGGGACUCUUGGACAAUGGACGAAAGCCUGAUCCAGCCAUGCCGCGUGUGUGAAGAAGGUCUUCGGAUUGGUAAGCACUUUAAGUUGUGAGGCGUUACCAACAGAAUAAGCACCGGCUAACUUCGUGCCAGCAGCCGCGGUAAUUC
rnacentral:rRNA from 1 species